UGUCCAUUGUCUCUCACAGAACAGCUGCUCAGUGGAAGUAACCGACCCCAACGAGUAAAACAGCCUGUGCUGCCUCUUAUCUGCUUAAGCACGUGGAGUCAUCUCAGAUUGGUGAUCUGUUGCUCAGAACUGUGACAGAGAAUAGAAAUUCCUCUGUUCUUGGUAGGUCAGAGAGGAGAUGGAAAACUUCCAUUAGAAGUCUCUGCUCUGGAAGACUUUCAGCCUAGAUCACAUCUCUAGAAAGGACAGAAGCUGCCAUCAUAGCAGCCAUACCCAGGUUUAACCCUCAUUCACCUCUGCAUCCCAGU